rnacentral:rRNA from 1 species
GAUGAACGCUGGCGGCGUGCUUAACACAUGCGAGUCGAACGGUGGAGGCGGAGCUUGCUCUGCUGGAUCAGUGGCGAACGGGUGAGUAACACGUGAGCAAUCUGCCCCUGACUCUGGGAUAAGCGCUGGAAACGGCGUCUAAUACUGGAUACGAGCUGCGAAGGCAUCUUCAGCAGCUGGAAAGAAUUUCGGUCAGGGAUGAGCUCGCGGCCUAUCAGCUUGUUGGUGAGGUAAUGGCUCACCAAGGCGUCGACGGGUAGCCGGCCUGAGAGGGUGACCGGCCACACUGGGACUGAGACACGGCCCAGACUCCUACGGGAGGCAGCAGUGGGGAAUAUUGCACAAUGGGCGAAAGCCUGAUGCAGCAACGCCGCGUGAGGGACGACGGCCUUCGGGUUGUAAACCUCUUUUAGCAGGGAAGAAGCGAAAGUGACGGUACCUGCAGAAAAAGCGCCGGCUAACUACGUG